GAAUUCGCCCUUAGAGUUUGAUCCUGGCUCAGGACGAACGCUGGCGGCGUGCUUAACACAUGCAAGUCGAACGGAGCACCCCUGAAGGAGUUUUCGGACAACGGAUGGGAAUGCUUAGUGGCGGACUGGUGAGUAACGCGUGAGGAACCUGCCUUCCUGAGGGGGACAACAGUUGGAAACGACUGCUAAUACCGCAUGAUGCGUUGGAGCCGCAUGACUCCGACGUCAAAGAUUUAUCGCUGGAAGAUGGCCUCGCGUCUGAUUAGCUAGUUGGUGAGGUAACGGCCCACCAAGGCGACGAUCAGUAGCCGGACUGAGAGGUUGGCCGGCCACAUUGGGACUGAGAUACGGCCCAGACUCCUACGGGAGGCAGCAGUGGGGAAUAUUGGGCAAUGGACGCAAGUCUGACCCAGCAACGCCGCGUGAAGGAAGAAGGCUUUCGGGUUGUAAACUUCUUUUAAGGGGGAAGAGCAGAAGACGGUACCCCUUGAAUAAGCCACGGCUAACUACGUGCCAGCAGCCGCGGUAAUACGUAGGUGGCAAGCGUUGUCCGGAUUUACUGGGUGUAAAGGGCGUGCAGCCGGAGAGACAAGUCAGAUGUGAAAUCCACGGGCUCAACUCGUGAACUGCAUUUGAAACUGUUUCCCUUGAGUGUCGGAGAGGUAAUCGGAAUUCCUUGUGUAGCGGUGAAAUGCGUAGAUAUAAGGAAGAACACCAGUGGCGAAGGCGGAUUACUGGACGAUAACUGACGGUGAGGCGCGAAAGCGUGGGGAGCAAACAGGAUUAGAUACCCUGGUAGUCCACGCUGUAAACGAUCGAUACUAGGUGUGCGGGGACUGACCCCCUGCGUGCCGGAGUUAACACAAUAAGUAUCGCACCUGGGGAGUACGAUCGCAAGGUUGAAACUCAAAGGAAUUGACGGGGGCCCGCACAAGCGGUGGAUUAUGUGGUUUAAUUCGAAGCAACGCGAAGAACCUUACCAGGGCUUGACAUCCUGCUAACGAAGUAGAGAUACAUUAGGUGCCCUUCGGGGAAAGCAGAGACAGGUGGUGCAUGGUUGUCGUCAGCUCGUGUCGUGAGAUGUUGGGUUAAGUCCCAUAACGAGCGCAACCCCUACCGUUAGUUGCCAUCAGGUAAAGCUGGGCACUCUGGCGGGACUGCCGGUGUAAGCCGAGAGGAAGGUGGGGAUGACGUCAAAUCAGCACGGCCCUUACGUCCGGAGCUACACACGUGUUACAAUGGCAGGUACAGAGGGCAGCUACCCAGCAAUGGGAUGCGAAUCUCGAAAGCCUGUCUCAGUUCGGAUUGGAGGCUGAAACCCGCCUCCAUGAAGUUGGAUUCGCUAGUAAUCGCGCAUCAGCCAUGGCGCGGUGAAUACGUUCCCGGGCCUUGCACUCACCGCCCGUCA
rnacentral:rRNA from 1 species